rfam:Azospirillum sp. B510 DNA, complete genome.
CCCCUUCCCUUGCCGGGCGGGAGUGCCUAUAUUCGCCACGUCGGUUCGCCGACUAUGGCGAUAAACGCCUUGUGGAAUAAGCGUUGUGGACCCGGGGGCGGUACCCGGCGCCUCCACCAACCAAACACCGGACUCGUUGACCGGGGUCGUUGGGGGCGAAACAGGAUCGACACGCGUGGUAAAGGCAUGGUUUUCGCUCGGCAUGGUUCCGCCGUUAUCGGGCCGUUGCAAUAGUUGCCAACGACAACGUUGCUCAGGCUCGCCUCGCUGCCUAACGGCGGCUGGUAGCCUAAACCUAAUCCCCGCGGGUUAGCGCCCAAGGGUGGGGCCGUGGGCCGCCUAGCAACAGAAGGCCCACACC